rnacentral:hammerhead_ribozyme from 1 species
AUUCAGCUGACGAGUGUUGAAUAAAACGAAACGCGCGUCCUGAAU